UAUGUUGCUGCCGAUAACCGUCGCACACGUAUGGCUAGAAACAGGAAAAGAGGUCUGGAGCAAAAAGAAGAAUAGACUUUACCAAGGAUGAUGCCACCAAAUCUAUCAGAUCAAAGAAACAUGAACAUAGUCCUUCCAAAGAAUACAAGAAAGACAAAACAGACAACAAAUAUCAAACAACCAAUGAUGGACAGCAGGAGUAAGCCAAACAUGCAUACCAAAUAGAUGUUAACAUAUGGACGAGACAAUCAAACAGGAAGGGUCUUACUAUUCAUGGCAGAUGUUAACAUGUGGAGGAGACAAUCAUACAUGAAGGAUCUUCAUUAUUGGAUAAUGCUUGAAUGCACCGAGUUUCUCUUUGUCUUUUCUCCUUUCGCCCUUUGGAAUCACCAGAGUACCCAUUCCUCAACGUGUAUGAGUGUACGAGGGUACUUUUAGUC